rnacentral:rRNA from 1 species
UAACCUGCCCAAGAGAUCGGGAUAACACCUGGAAACAGAUGCUAAUACCGGAUAACAAUAGAUGAUGCCUAUCAACUGUUUAAAAGAUGGUUCUGCUAUCACUCUUGGAUGGACCUGCGGUGCAUUAGCUAGUUGGUAGGGUAACGGCCUACCAAGGCGAUGAUGCAUAGCCGAGUUGAGAGACUGAUCGGCCACAUUGGGACUGAGACACGGCCCAAACUCCUACGGGAGGCAGCAGUC